rnacentral:tmRNA from 1 species
GUCCUUCCCCCGACCGUCAAUCAUCCCUAUAUUGGUUCUGUCCGGGCUUGCCCGGACUAUGGACAUAAACGAGCGUGUAAUAAACGGACUGGACCCGGGUGCGAUUCCCGGCGGCUCCACCAAUCUCCUUCGAGUUAUCACGAAGAGCAUGGGGCCGAUCAGCAUCGACAGACGUGUAAAGGCGUAUUCUUUGUCUCGGCGUGGCUCACCGUAUCGGGCCGCUAAACUAACUGCGAACGAUAACUUCGCUGAAGAGUACGCCGUCGCCGCGUAAUGCGGUUCUAGCGAACUCAGACUAAAGCCCAGGGGGUUCAGAUCCUCUGGCUGGGCCCGGGGGAGCCUGCAAACAGAAUCCCCCACC